GGAUGCUGGAGUGGUCGGGGAGGCGGGUUAUACAGAGGAGUUGGCAGCAGCAGAAGGUGUGCAAAUUUGUGGGCUUGCGAAGGACAGCGGGGUGGUGAAUGACAGGCGGCGGGAUUCGCUGCGGGCAGCAUGGAGGUGCUUAUUGGGCCGGCCGGGCCCCGGUGCUGUGCGCCCUGGGAGACGCUGUGAGGAUGGAGGUGGCCCAGCGGCCGGUCCACGCACCCCCUGACUGGUCCUGCCCUGGUUGGCGACAUUGGGACUUUUGCUCCCGUCUUGUGUAUGGGAUGUUUCGGCUGGUUGCAUGUGU
rnacentral:lncRNA from 1 species